GAUGAACGCUGGCGGCGUGCCUAAUACAUGCAAGUCGAGCGAACGGACGAGAAGCUUGCUUCUCUGAUGUUAGCGGCGGACGGGUGAGUAACACGUGGAUAACCUACCUAUAAGACUGGGAUAACUUCGGGAAACCGGAGCUAAUACCGGAUAAUAUUUUGAACCGCAUGGUUCAAAAGUAAAAGACGGUCUUGCUGUCACUUAUAGAUGGAUCCGCGCUGCAUUAGCUAGUUGGUAAGGUAACGGCUUACCAAGGCAACGAUGCAUAGCCGACCUGAGAGGGUGAUCGGCCACACUGGAACUGAGACACGGUCCAGACUCCUACGGGAGGCAGCAGUAGGGAAUCUUCCGCAAUGGGCGAAAGCCUGACGGAGCAACGCCGCGUGAGUGAUGAAGGUCUUCGGAUCGUAAAACUCUGUUAUUAGGGAAGAACAUAUGUGUAAGUAACUGUGCACAUCUUGAAGGUACCUAAUCAGAAAGCCACGGCUAACUACGUG
rnacentral:rRNA from 1 species